rnacentral:lncRNA from 1 species
UUUUGGGGGUAAUUAUUUUCAAAAGAUUACCUGAAAACAUCAAAACCAAAUUUUUGUUUAAAAGUCAGUUCUGCAUCACCAAGCACACUCUAACUUCACUCUAAAGGAACAACGUGCAUGAACACCAGCAUCCCACUGUUCACAGCUCCUGCUCAUGGACAUCCCUCAUUAGCACACUGAAAAAAUAGAAUCAUUUAUCAGAGCAAAAUUAAUAGCACUAGGUAACCUGAGAAAAAAGGAUGAGAAUCAUUCACCUGAUCUUGGAAUCUUUAGUUCCUUAGAAUGAUCCAACUCAAACUUUUAAGACCUAAUUUUCAUCUCUAAAAUUACAUGUCAAACUACACUAUUACCAUAAAAGCAAGGGAUAUUAAUAACAUCACUUACUGUGUUAUUAUGCAAAGAAUAAAUGAUUCUAUGGGUUUGAUAAAACUUCAAUGAUUCUAAAAAGAUGCUUCUAAUAUCAGGCUCAGAAGGCACCUGAAGAAGCAAUUACCAUAAACUGCA